rnacentral:rRNA from 1 species
UACGUAGGGUGCGAGCGUUGUCCGGAUUUAUUGGGCGUAAAGAGCUCGUAGGCGGUUUGUCGCGUCGGCCGUGAAAUCUCCACGCUUAACGUGGAGCGUGCGGUCGAUACGGGCAGACUUGAGUUCGGUAGGGGAGACUGGAAUUCCUGGUGUAGCGGUGAAAUGCGCAGAUAUCAGGAGGAACACCGGUGGCGAAGGCGGCACUCUGGGCCGGUACUGACGCUGAGGAGCGAAAGCGUGGGGAGCAAACAGG